AACCCGACUCCAUGAAGCUGGAUUCGCUAGUAAUCGCGCAUCAGCCACGGCGCGGUGAAUACGUUCCCGGGCCUUGUACACACCGCCCGUCAAGCCAUGGGAGCCGGGGGUGCCUGAAGGCCGUGACCGCGAGGAGCGGCCUAGGGUAAAACUGGUGACUGGGGCUAAGUCGUAACAAGGUAUC
rnacentral:rRNA from 1 species